rnacentral:rRNA from 1 species
CCUACGGGAGGCAGCAGUGAGGAAUAUUGGUCAAUGGACGGAAGUCUGAACCAGCCAUGCCGCGUGCAGGAUGACGGCUCUAUGAGUUGUAAACUGCUUUUGUACGAGAAUAAUAGUUCUUACGUGUAGGGAUUUGAAUGUAUUUUACGAAUAAGGAUCGGCUAACUCCGUGCCAGCAGCCGCGGUAAUACGGAGGAUUCGAGCGUUAUCCGGAUUUAUUGGGUUUAAAGGGUGCGUAGGCUGUUGGGUAAGGUAGAGGUCAAAUGCCGGAGCUGAAACCCGUGCCUGCCUCUGAUACUGGUCGCCGAGAGAGCGGAUGCAGCAGGCGGAAUGAGUAGUGUAGCGGUGAAAUGCUUAGAUAUUACUCAGAACGCCGAUUGCGCAGGCAGCUUGCUAAUCCGGAUCUGACGCUGAUGCACGAAAGCGUGGGUAGCGAACAGGAUUAGAUACCCCAGUAGUC